rnacentral:rRNA from 1 species
CCCUUAGAUGCUCUGGGCCGCACGCGCGCUACACUGGUCGAUGCAACGAGUUUCUUUCCUUGGCCGACAGGCCUGGGCAAUCUUUGAACAUCGAUCGUGAUCGGGAUAGAUUCUUGUAAUUUUUGAUCUUAAACGAGGAAUUCCUAGUAAACGCAAGCCAUCAGCUUGCAUUGAUUACGUCCCUGCCCUUUGUACACACCGCCCGUCGCACCUACCGAUUGAAUGGUCCGGUGAAAUCUCCGGACUGGCGUGAGUCGGAGCAAUCUGACAAACGCCGGAAAGUUGAUUAAACCUUACCAUUUAGAGGAAGGUGAAGUCGUAACA